UUUAACUAGAAAACAACAGAAGUGGCUGUAGAGCAAAAGAAACAAUCGACGAUGCUACCACUGGAUUGCCGUAUGCUGUCACACCUGAAAAUCCUGUUGUUUAUGCUGCAAUAAAGAUUCAAAAAAACAGAGAAACAAGGAAUGAGAACUAUGAAGUUCUGCUAUCUGCCGCAGUGUCCUGUACUGAAGAUACAGUGACUUACUCUCAAGUCCACAUAAAGAGUAAACCUAUUGAUGAAGGGUGAUUUUCUG